rnacentral:rRNA from 1 species
AAUCUUGCGCAAUGGGCGAAAGCCUGACGCAGCCAUGCCGCGUGAAUGAUGAAGGUCUUAGGAUUGUAAAGCUCUUUCACCGAUGAAGCUAAUGACGGUAGUCGGAGAAGAAGCCCCGGCUAACUUCGUGCCAGCAGCCGCGGUAAUACGAAGGGGGCUAGCGUUGUUCGGAUUUACUGGGCGUAAAGCGCACGUAGGCGGAUUGGUCAGUUAGAGGUGAAAUCCCGAAGCUCAACUUCGGAACUGCCUUUAAUACUGCCAGUCUCGAGUCCGGAAGAGGUAAGUGGAACUCCUAGUGUAGAGGUGGAAUUCGUAGAUAUUAGGAAGAACACCAGUGGCGAAGGCGGCUUACUGGUCCGGAACUGACGCUGAGGUGCGAAAGCGUGGGGAGCAAACA